rnacentral:SRP_RNA from 1 species
GCUGGGCACAGUGGCUUGUGCCUGUAAUCCAAGCGCCGGGGAGGCUGAAACUGGUGGACAGCUUGAGCCUGGGGGUUCUGGGCUGCAGCGAGCUGUGCUGAGCGGGCGUCCGCGCUAAGUUCAGCAUCGAUAUGGUGGUCCUGGGGGAGCCAGGGGUCACCAGGUCGCCUAAGGAGGGGUGAACCGGCCCAGGUCGGAGACGGAGCAGGUCAAAACUCCUGUGCUGAUCAGUAGUGGGAUCGCGCCUGUGAACAGUCCCUGUAGCACAGCCUGGGCGAGAGAGCGGGACCCAGUUUCCU